rnacentral:misc_RNA from 1 species
GUUUUUGUACGAUUAUUUUUAAUUUAAAGAUGGUUGUUUUAAAUGCGGUAGUUUUAUAUUUUGGUUGGAGCAGGAUGCUGUGUCAACAUUGUGAACUAAGGAUACUGUCUGCUUGCUUUUAACUUGUGGUGUUUUGAUUUUUUCUCUUAAACUUUAGUUUGUAACAUAAGAUUUUAUAUUUUAUACAUAAUCUAGUUGGAGCUUUGUUGACUAAGAUUUGGC